ACCCGACUGACGAGUUCCAUAUAGGACGAAACGCGCGUCCUGGAU
rfam:Schistosoma curassoni strain Dakar, Senegal genome assembly, scaffold: SCTD_scaffold0000830